GGAUGAACGCUAGCGGCAGGCCUAACACAUGCAAGUCGAGGGAUAAGCUUUCGRGCURAAACCGGCGUACGGGUGCGUAACGCGUAUACAAUCUGCCUUUCACUGGGGGAUAGCCCGAAGAAAUUUGGAUUAAUACCCCAUAGAAUAAUGRUGUGGCAUCAUAUUAUUAUUAAAGCUACGGUGGUGAAAGAUGAGUAUGCGUUCUAUUAGCUAGUUGGAGAGGUAACGGCUCCCCAAGGCRACGAUAGAUAGGGGUUCUGAGAGGGAUGUCCCCCACACUGGUACUGAGAUACGGACCAGACUCCUACGGGAGGCAGCAGUGAGGAAUAUUGGACAAUGGUCGGAAGACUGAUCCAGCCAUGCCGCGUGCAGGAUGAAGGUCUUAUGGAUUGUAAACUGCUUUUGCAGGGGAAGAAUAAGGACUACGCGUAGUUUGAUGACGGUACUCUGUGAAUAAGCAUCGGCUAACUCCGU
rnacentral:rRNA from 1 species